rnacentral:tRNA from 1 species
GGGGUUGUGGCUCAGCGGAAGAGCACUCACCUAACAUAUGAGGCCCUGGGUUCAAUUCUCAGCACUACA